rnacentral:pre_miRNA from 2 species
UCUUUUGGAUGAGCAGUGAAAGUUGCUUCUUGAGAAGGAAUCUACUCUUGGUGAAGAUGCUGUGAA